GAAGGGAUACUAUUUCAGUUCACAGAAAUCAUGGCUAGAUAUAAAAGGUAGACCUAAUAACAUUUGUCACUGGAGGAGAAAAGGUUGUGUGUGGCCUUGCACACCACCAAAAUGGUCUUUGCCUCUGAAAAAAAAUGGAAACAAAUAUUUUCCACUUAUAUCAGAAAAUUGCGUGCAUGAACCUUUCUGAUGUUUCACUGAAGCUGUUUGCAAAUAAAAAUGUAAAAGUGCAGAAUACAUCUUUUUUAACAGCAUUUACAUUUAACACAAACACUACUGCUUACACACAUUAUUUAUGAAUAUACAUUACAGAUAACUCAUAGAAGGAAUGAUAAUUCAGACAUAAUUUGGAGAUACUGCUAUGCCAUUUACAGCAUGAAAAGCCUAUAGAUUCAACGUAUUAAGUGUAUUUUGGGAAUAUACAUUUUAGAUAUUGUGUUAUUACGGAUUGUGUUACUAGGGGGAGAAAAUGGAAUGCAUUAUCUGCGCAGUUUUCAAACUACUUCCUGAUGGAGAUACUUCGAAUAUGGAGAUGUGGACCGCCCUCCAGGAGACCAACCCACCCCAGCUUUCAGCAGGUAAACAAGCUCACGCUGCGCAACAGCAGCGUCUAUCUGACAAACCGUUAAAUAUAGCGAGGAGAAGAGCCUGAAUUCUCUUAAAGUGGAAUCUUAGCUGGUCUGGACGACUUGUUUUCUACGAUGUUUGCAGUAAAAGCACGGGCCUCAUGCAGCCUUCACAUGAGAGGGUAGCCCUGCGUGGCCAUACAGAUGGACAGAACUCCCCGCUUUCAUGAGUCACUGCAGCACGACACAUACCUGGGGUGGGGGAUGACGCAGAGGCCAUGAACAGACACAGCUCUUCCUGCUUAUGUGAGCGAGAGGAGAGGAGAAGCAGCUGCCAGUUCACUGCUCCAGGACGUUAAAACCCCCUCUUUCUUUGGCUCCGGAGUUCAAGCGCAUUACUACAGUUCGACCCCCGAAUGCCUGCACCUGCAGCACAUUAAUUCCUCAAAAAGGGAGCAGGAACUCUGACUGGGAUCUGGGCUUUCUCCCCUGAGGUGUGCGUCCUGUCCUCUGAGUGCACUGUUGGCGGCCCACUGGGCAUGCUCAGAGGCCUUUUCCCACAGUUCCAGAGCCAGCCACGGAGAACCCUGGGUCUGGAGGAAACAAGCGGAUGAGCGUGACGUCACCUCGAGCUGCGUCAGACGCGCACAGUCACACCGCGUCAAGGACAACACUGCCUCUUCCCGUUUCCCUUGGGCAGCUUUAACCCCCCCCCCCCCCACCCAGCGACUUCCCAAACGUGUAGAUUUACUAGUUUCGGAUUACGCAACACAUGCCUUGGCGAGGUGGGGACGCUUGCUCAGCCAAACCUGGAUGUCCCACUCUCCACCCUACACCCCCGUCAGCCAUUGUGUCCACCUACACAUGUACUUCCACCCCGCAAGGCAUUCAUUGUCACACCGGGGGGUGUAGUCUUCCGCGGGGUGUAGUCUUCCGCGGACCACCUCUGAUGCAGUAUCACCCACCCUGGUUUACCGUAUGACCUGAAUCCAAAGACAAACUAAAAAAAAAAAAAAAAAAGAUGAAUCAAUGGAUUCUAGGAAGGAACCCCCACUCAUCUAAAAUAAGGGAAGACCGGAGCUGACGAGAGUCUGAAUGCCUGAGUCUGGGUCUGAUUCUGGGACAGACAGACGAUAUAUUUUUGUGGUACAUAGUUUAAAAAUGGCACCGCUAGCUGUCUGUGGUUGAAUUAUUGUAGAGCGCUGCAGGGGAGAGGUUGGGAUGUGGGACAAGCUAUGAAUCUUCUGCUGUGUUUUCUUAGUUCAUGAUAUUGUGGAAUGUACACUGUCAGAAACAGCGUUUGCACAACCUCUCUCCAUAUGAACUGCACUUCAUCAAAGGACCAGUUACCAUGUAGCUUUACAGGAAUAGGUAACUGUAUAAGCACAUGCCAAUAACCGAAGACACCAUGGUAUAAUAAAACAAGUUAUACUGUA